rnacentral:ncRNA from 2 species
GCCUCGAAGCACGGGAGCCCGCACGGGCUGAGAGGGUGCGCCCGCACCGACCGUCGAACCUGCUCCGGGUCAUGCCGGCGAAGGGAGCUACCGCCGUGGACGU